CUUUCACACCUAGGUUCUUUUCAUUAGGGUUAGGUCACUUGGAGUUACAAAAAGGAAGAGUGUGAGCCUUGGAAACCCUUUGUGGGUGCUGAGUUUGAGAGAGAAAGAAAGAGAGGGAGUGCACGAGAAAGAGAGGAAAAGAAAGAAAGGAAAAGAGAAAGAAAGACAGAAAGAAGGAGAAGAAGGCUGGGGUUCAAAAUAUUUAGGUGUAUUUCGAAAUCCCUAGGUGCCCAAGGAUUUAUUUGCUUUGUGUUCUAGAACACUAUAGAGAAGUAAAAAAUAGGGUUUCUCCUUCGCACGUGCAGUGAUGUGGGGAGUUUCGACGUCUGAGUAUGUAUGGCGUGGGGUGUCCGAUGAACGAAUAACGAUCAAGUUGAGCGCCAAGAAUAAAUAAGAACUUAUCUUAUGAUUUUUAUUUCGAUUAUGUCAGUGGGACUUACAACUUUAUUUUAUUUCUGAAUAUUGCAUAAAGACACAUUAUUUUUAUUUUUAAAAUAUUGGGCCCAAAUUGCAUGUUU